rnacentral:rRNA from 1 species
GAUGAACGCUGGCGGCGUGCCUAAUACAUGCAAGUCGAGCGAACGGACGAGAAGCUUGCUUCUCUGAUGUUAGCGGCGGACGGGUGAGUAACACGUGGAUAACCUACCUAUAAGACUGGGAUAACUUCGGGAAACCGGAGCUAAUACCGGAUAAUAUUUUGAACCGCAUGGUUCAAAAGUGAAAGACGGUCUUGCUGUCACUUAUAGAUGGAUCCGCGCUGCAUUAGCUAGUUGGUAAGGUAACGGCUUACCAAGGCAACGAUGCAUAGCCGACCUGAGAGGGUGAUCGGCCACACUGGAAAUGAGACACGGUCCAGACUCCUACGGGAGGCAGCAGUAGGGAAUCUUCCGCAAUGGGCGAAAGCCUGACGGAGCAACGCCGCGUGAGUGAUGAAGGUCUUCGGAUCGUAAAACUCUGUUAUUAGGGAAGAACAUAUGUGUAAGUAACUGUGCACAUCUUGACGGUACCUAAUCAGAAAGCCACGGCUAACUACGUG